rnacentral:lncRNA from 1 species
CACAGGUGGGAAAGGAGAUUAUGCCCCUGCUCCAGACAGGGACACCUCCCAGAGCUCUGAUGUGUCUCUCCCAGAUUGUAAAGCAUGAAGACAGCUGCCUGGAGUGGACUGAGUGACAGACGAUGUGUUCAGGUCUCUCCUGUGACAUCCAGAGUCCUCAGUUCUCUUUAGACACCAGUGUCUGAUGUUCCCUGUGAUCUAUGGCUUCAGUGUGAAGAACUGUGAAGCCCAGCCUGCCCUGCACUUCAGGACCCUGUCCCUGCACUGUCUGUGUUCCCUUCCACAGCCAAGUCCAGCCUGGGGGUGGGGACAUCUGCAUCCUGUCACUCCCUGCUACCCUGAGCUUCUGCCCCUCACAUUGAGAAUAAGAAUCUGAGUGUGAACUUGAUUGUUCACAUCCUUGACACAAGUGUGGAUGGCUUUUUAAAUUGCUGGAUGGAAUACUUAGAGGUUUUUUGUUUUGGGGUUUUGCUUUGUUUGGUUUUGUUUUUGAAAAAAAUAAAAGGCAGAUGGAGAAGCUUCCAGAAUC